rnacentral:ncRNA from 1 species
GUUAAUAGAGAUAAAAACACAGUUUUGGUUGGUAGUCCAAAACUUGGCUUGUACUUUAUAAGUUAGCAGUAACCUGCCCUCCUGGGGUUGUCCAUUCUCUAGAUUUUUUAU